UCAUGACACCUGCUGGAUAAAGGAAGCAUGCGGAUCGUCCAUCCAUCCAUCCAUUUCCUACCGCUUGUCCCUUACGGGGUCGCGGGGGUGCUGGAGCCAUAAAUGUACACACAGAAAGGAAGCAGGAACAUCCACUUUUAGGGGAGAGGAUGGCGCCCCGGAGCUGUUUCGCCUGAUAAACUGUGAGAACUAUGGACAGGCCCCGUGCCGAGGAGUAACGGGAUGAGGUCACCGAUGAAGGCAAUGACAUCAUUUCCUUCACCUCGCUCAGUACACCAACGAAACGAGAAAGAAAUCCUACGACUGAUCCAUCGUCUUGUCGCCAUGGCGACCGGACAUGUUUGGAUGACGGAGCGGUGCCUUGUGGUGAAGUUGGGUGGAUCGUAUCCAGGGGUGGACCUGGCAGGACACACUCUCUGUCUGAGGCACAUCUGC